AAGUCGUAACAAGGUUUCCGUAGGUGAACCUGCGGAAGGAUCAUUAAAAAAAAAUAAUGGCUAGCAUACUCUCAAGCAUGCGAAUCGUCAAACCAUUUCUGAGUACACCACUUCCGCGUUGCUUUCGCAGGUGGAGACCGGCGCAAAGCGGGACGACUCUUUUGGAGUCCCGGACACGCGCCGCAAUCUGCGAAAGGGUCAGGAUUUUUUAAAUUCUUGUAUUUAAACGUCGUUCGUUUCUGGUCUGAAACUAUAAUUAAAAAACAAAAAGAAAAAACUUUCAACAACGGAUCUCUUGGUUCUC
rnacentral:misc_RNA from 1 species